rnacentral:rRNA from 1 species
AGAGUUUGAUCCUGGCUCAGAUUGAACGCUGGCGGCAUGCUUUACACAUGCAAGUCGAACGGCAGCACAGGGAGCUUGCUCCCGGGUGGCGAGUGGCGCACGGGUGAGUAAUACAUCGGAACGUGUCCUGUUGUGGGGGAUAACUGCUCGAAAGGGUGGCUAAUACCGCAUGAGACCUGAGGGUGAAAGCGGGGGAUCGCAAGACCUCGCGCAAUUGGAGCGGCCGAUGCCCGAUUAGCUAGUUGGUGAGGUAAAGGCUCACCAAGGCGACGAUCGGUAGCUGGUCUGAGAGGACGACCAGCCACACUGGGACUGAGACACGGCCCAGACUCCUACGGGAGGCAGCAGUGGGGAAUUUUGGACAAUGGGGGCAACCCUGAUCCAGCCAUGCCGCGUGCAGGAUGAAGGCCUUCGGGUUGUAAACUGCUUUUGUCAGGGACGAAAAGGACCGUGUUAAUACCAUGGUCUGCUGACGGUACCUGAAGAAUAAGCACCGGCUAACUACGUGCCAGCAGCCGCGGUAAUACGUAGGGUGCAAGCGUUAUCCGGAAUUAUUGGGCGUAAAGGGCUCGUAGGCGGUUCGUCGCGUCCGGUGUGAAAGUCCAUCGCUUAACGGUGGAUCCGCGCCGGGUACGGGCGGGCUUGAGUGCGGUAGGGGAGACUGGAAUUCCCGGUGUAACGGUGGAAUGUGUAGAUAUCGGGAAGAACACCAAUGGCGAAGGCAGGUCUCUGGGCCGUCACUGACGCUGAGGAGCGAAAGCGUGGGGAGCGAACAGGAUUAGAUACCCUGGUAGUCCACGCCGUAAACGGUGGAUGCUGGAUGUGGGGACCAUUCCACGGUCUCCGUGUCGGAGCCAACGCGUUAAGCAUCCCGCCUGGGGAGUACGGCCGCAAGGCUAAAACUCAAAGAAAUUGACGGGGGCCCGCACAAGCGGCGGAGCAUGCGGAUUAAUUCGAUGCAACGCGAAGAACCUUACCUGGGCUUGACAUGUUCCCGACAGCCGUAGAGAUACGGUCUCCCUUCGGGGCGGGUUCACAGGUGGUGCAUGGUCGUCGUCAGCUCGUGUCGUGAGAUGUUGGGUUAAGUCCCGCAACGAGCGCAACCCUCGCCCUGUGUUGCCAGCACGUCAUGGUGGGAACUCACGGGGGACCGCCGGGGUCAACUCGGAGGAAGGUGGGGAUGACGUCAGAUCAUCAUGCCCCUUACGUCCAGGGCUUCACGCAUGCUACAAUGGCCGGUACAACGGGAUGCGACACCGCGAGGUGGAGCGGAUCCCUUAAAACCGGUCUCAGUUCGGAUUGGAGUCUGCAACCCGACUCCAUGAAGGCGGAGUCGCUAGUAAUCGCGGAUCAGCAACGCCGCGGUGAAUGCGUUCCCGGGCCUUGUACACACCGCCCGUCAAGUCAUGAAAGUGGGCAGCACCCGAAGCCGGUGGCCUAACCCCUUGUGGGAUGGAGCCGUCUAAGGUGAGGCUCGUGAUUGGGACUAAGUCGUAACAAGGUAGCCGUACCGGAAGGUGCGGCUG